rnacentral:snRNA from 1 species
AUGUUCAUUUCUGAACAUAUACUGAAAAUUGGAACAAUGCAGAGAAGAUUAGCAUUGCCCCUGCGCAAGGAUGACACGCAAUUUAUUAUAGCCCAACGUUU